GAUGAAGAACGUAGCGAAAUGCGAUAAGUAAUGUGAAUUGCAGAAUUCAGUGAAUCAUCGAAUCUUUGAACGCACAUUGCGCCCUCUGGUAUUCCGGAGGGCAUGCCUGUUCGAGCGUCAUUUCGACCCUCAAGCAUUGCUUGGUGUUGGGGCACCGCCUGUAAAAGGGCGGGCCCUGAAAUCUAGUGGCGAGCUCGCCAGGACCCCGAGCGUAGUAAUUAUAUUUCGUUGGAAGGCCCUGGCGGUGCCCUGCCGUUAAACCCCCAACUUCUGAAAAUUUGACCUCGGAUCAGGUAGGAAUACCCGCUGAACUUAAGCAUAUCAAUAAGCGGAGGA
rnacentral:misc_RNA from 1 species